rnacentral:rRNA from 1 species
AGCGUAGGCGGAUCUUUAAGUGGGAUGUGAAAUACUCGGGCUCAACCUGGGGGCUGCAUUCCAAACUGGAGAUCUAGAGUGCAGGAGAGGAAAGUGGAAUUCCUAGUGUAGCGGUGAAAUGCGUAGAGAUUAGGAAGAACACCAGUGGCGAAGGCGACUUUCUGGACUGUAACUGACGCUGAGGCUCGAAAGCGUGGGGAGCAAACA